ensembl:lncRNA
GAAUGAAUGAUUCAAAGAUUUGCUCAUUGAACAAUUAGUGAACGCCACCUACUGGUAUAAUGCUGUAGCCUUUUACAGCCAUCGAAGUGAAGGAGUUUUUGGUGCACAGAAUCAAACGAUUAUAGUCAUUGGGAAGAAACAAUAUAUUCGAGUCACUGGGAUGAGCCUAUAUCAAAAUCCCCCCUAUGUCAUAUCUUGUCUUUCCUUGGAGUCGACUCCUUGAGUGAAUUCUUUGAGUCGACAGCCGGUUCCCAACGUUUUGGAAUCAAAGAAUCGAUUCUCUUUGUCUCCCAGUCCAGACCUGUUUACAGGUGAAGACGAGAAAACAGGAAGAUGGACGUAACUAAAACUUCCACAAUGUAGGAUGAAGAUAUUUACACUUCUCGGUUUAAUCAGCUACUUGUGUUUGGCUGGCAGGUCUGCCAUUCUUACCAUUUAGAGGGGCUUAAAAGAAAGGCACCUAUUCAUGAUAUUCACAGGUAUUAACAAGGCAGAGAGAAAGAGAGAGAUAUGCAUGAAACAACAAAUAAAAUCAGUAAAUGACGUCCAGAUGGCAGCAGAAAGGUGCAUUAUAAGAGGACUUCACAUUUUACAUUAUUGUGAGGCAUGCAUUUCAUAGGCAUUAUUUUGAUACGUGUCAUUUCCAUAAAGUACACUACAUUAGAUUAGAUUAGAUUAGAUUCAACUUUAUUGUCACUGCACAUGUAAGGUACAAGGCAACGAAAUGCAGUUAGCAUCUAACCAGAAGUGCAAUAAGCAGUAAGUACAGAAUAUACAAGGUCUACAAUAUGUACAAUAACUAUACAGAUAAGUAUUAUGGACAAAAUUUACAGAUUUUAAAUACUAUCAGCAUGAUAUACAGAUAGGUGUACUAUGAACAUACUAUACAGAUGAAAUAUGUGAAGUGUAUGUACACUAUAGGCAGAACUAUGAACAUAUGAACAAUUUACACUAUUGCAAUGGAAAGUAAAGUGCAUAGAAAAUAUUUCAGUGUGCAAAUGGGUUAUUCAGUGUUCCUGGAUGAACAGACAGUAGUGCAAGUAAUAGCAAGCUUACUGUUUUUUU